GGAGAGUUGGCAGAGAGGAUUAAUGCAGCGGUCUUGAAAACCGUCGUGGGUCAAACCACCAUGGGUUCAAAUCCCAUAUUCUCCUCCA
rnacentral:tRNA from 1 species